CCACUUCCUUUCCCUGUGUCCUUCCCCCAAAAACCUCAUAGCUUUCUCUCUCUCUCUCUCAAACUCUCCCAGUUCACUCUCAUUUCUCUCCCUUCUUCCUCGGCAAGUAUCGAGAUGGUGCAAUGGCAUGCCCCACUUGAAACCACCACAUCCAUGACAAGACACCCAACUUACCACCGCAUGUUGACUCUAUCUCGUCCCUCUCAACCUUGCAACAUCACCACCACGGUAGAGCCUCCAUCUUCGGCGAGUUCCUUGACUUCUUGACACGAGGCUAGGGGAUACUUCCCCAGAUUCCAGCGAGAACCCGAGACUUGCAGGUCAUUUUUCGGCCAACUCUUAACAUGACUGGCCACAUGAGAGGUGCGUUGUUAGUGGCGUUUCCGUCUUCUCUAGCUGCACGGCUCUUCGAUGACAAAGUAUAUGACUUAAAUCAAGGCGUAAAAUCCCGGAGUCAAGGCAUUCCCACAUCAGUAUCUUCAAGUCCUCUCGGCGUAGGACCCAUUCCUUUAUUUGCAUAGUCUUAUAAUAUUCCUUUUACAAUGUUCUGAAUUAAUUGUAAUCUCUGAACAUAUUCCACAAUUGCAUAUUCAUUAUAGUUAAAUUUACGAGUUUCAUUUGUGUU